ensembl:lncRNA
AUUGAGGACUGGUCAAACAGCAUUUCUGAUCCCGUUUCUGACCUGAAAUUAGCUGAAAUGUACCUGAAAUUACCUGAAAUUAGAGUGUGCCCGCCCGAGCGAGUGAUGCCUAAAACAUGCAAACAAAACUGAAGACCAGGAACUGGAACCUGGGAACCUGGAAGAUGAUGUUGUCCUGAAGGACACAAUUCAGGCAGCAGCAUGGUGCCAGUUACAGUCUUUCAAGGACAGCGUUUCUCUCCCAGAGGUCAUUGGGAUGGAAGGUUGGGAGCAGAUGGCAGCAUCAACACAGCGCAAAUCCCAUGACGGCGGGGAUGAGGAAGAAACGUGGAAACCAUUCCAAUUCUCAUUCAGAUUACAUACUGACUAUGAACUGUUCUGUGUGGAGAUGAUGGACAGGAG